UGCUCCUAGAAGAAGAGGAAUUCAAAUCCAGCCCUGGGUUCUCAAAUAAGAUCUUUUGGGUGAGCUGCUGUGAAUUUUUAGCACUGGAACCCAACUCUGGUGCUGAGGUAUCUAAUAGACUUUUUGGCAGGAGCUGGAGAGGCUUUGGAGAAGGGUCUAUCUCAGAUAAUACCAAUGGAUGGUCCAGGAAAACCUUGUGGUGGAAGGGGGAUUGGACUCCCUUCACAAUCCUCACCCUUGCGUGACCCACACCAUCACUGAGCAUUGAGGCCACUCUCUUGAACCUAGAAACAGCCUCCCCUGUCUCUGCCACCAGAUUCCUAUACUGGACUUGAUCCUGGGACUGGGAAAGCAGGCUCAGGAGACCGUGGCAGCUCUCCACAGCAGCUCGGUUAGCUUCCUCCACCUGCUCCAUCUCAACACCAAGUCCCGAAACACCCUAAAUACCCCAAAGUCUCAGC
rnacentral:lncRNA from 1 species